ACGAAGGGUGCAAGCGUUAAUCGGAAUUACUGGGCGUAAAGGGUGCGUAGGCGGUUCGUUAAGUCUGUCGUGAAAUCCCCGGGCUCAACCUGGGAAUGGCGAUGGAUACUGGCGAGCUAGAGUGUGUCAGAGGAUGGUGGAAUUCCCGGUGUAGCGGUGAAAUGCGUAGAGAUCGGGAGGAACAUCAGUGGCGAAGGCGGCCAUCUGGGACAACACUGACGCUGAAGCACGAAAGCGUGGGGAGCAAACAGGA
rnacentral:rRNA from 1 species